UCAGGAUGAACGCUAGCGGCAGGCUUAACACAUGCAAGUCGAGGGGCAGCGGGAUGUAGCAAUACAUUGCCGGCGACCGGCGGAUGGGUGCGUAACGCGUAUGCAACCUACCUAUACAGGGGAAUAACCUUUCGAAAGGGAGACUAACACCCCAUGGUAUUGAUUUAAGGCAUCUUAGAUUAAUUAAAUAUUUAUAGGUAUAAGAUGGGCAUGCGUAUGAUUAGCUAGUUGGUAAGGUAACGGCUUACCAAGGCGACGAUCAUUAGGGGUUCUGAGAGGAAGGUCCCCCACACUGGUACUGAGACACGGACCAGACUCCUACGGGAGGCAGCAGUGAGGAAUAUUGGUCAAUGGGCGCAAGCCUGAACCAGCCAUGCCGCGUGCAGGAAAAGACGGCCUUAUGGGUUGUAAACUGCUUUUACAUAAGACUAACCGUAUAUUUGCGAAUAUACCUGAAUGUAUUAUGAGAAUAAGGAUCGGCUAACUCCGUGCCAGCCGCAGC
rnacentral:rRNA from 1 species